ensembl:ncRNA T06D8.15 ncRNA
GCGGGUACUGUCUCUCUCUCUUUUUCUCUGCUAACCGAGUGGUUCUGCCGCAACGGAGCCGGUCAGUUUGUUCUCCCAUGUGCAUACAAAUGCUCUUUCUCUCGUUCAUACUCUCCUGCGACGUCCAGAUUAUCUUUUUGUGU